rnacentral:antisense_RNA from 1 species
ACUCGCCGCUGAGUCCAUUUCCCUGCAACACUGCAGAUAGGGGAGUCUAGAGACAGAAUACAGACAGCGGCUGCCGACGGCUGGGACUGGGAGGGGAUGGCUAUGGGGCACGUUUCCUUCCAGGGUGAUAAAGGCAUUCGUUCUAAGAUAGACUGUGGUGACAGCUGCACACUCUGUAGAUGACAUCUCAGUCAAGCUGCUUCAUGAGAAAGGCCCAGCCACUGACCACAGGGUGAACGUCCUGCCGUGCACAGUCCCUGGCCGAGAAGAAGGUAUGACUGACAGGAAGCACUGGUUUUCUUUCCGGACACAUCCGAACGUGCCAGGACUGCAGGAGCCGCUGGAUUAUGGAGCAGCAAACCAGGCAUGGCAGGCGGUGCUCGCGAAGGUACAACGGGGCAGACCAGGGUGUGCAGCGUUACGUGACUUGGGAAGAUGGGGGGGCCCGACGUAUCUACCAGGAGACAGUGGAGACCUCUACCCUCUAGCUGUCCUCUGGUCCCACACAACCCAGCCCCUACUGGGCGGCCACUGCAGGGGAAGCUCAGCUGGAAGGUUCCUGGGAGAGACCAGAACAGUUCUGACACUGUCCAGCAGCUGCCGUCAGCCCACGUUCUGAAACCGGGAUGCAUACAGCAUGGAGACCUCAGCCCUGGGCCCUGGGCAGCCCUCACCCCCUCCAGCAGCUGCUCUCAGCCCGUCUCCCAAAGCCUGGACGCACACAGUGGGGAGACCUCAGCCCUGGGCAGGCCUUGGUCCCCAUCGCUUCGGCGUCCCUGGGCCCAGGACACGGAACGCACUUGCUACAUGCUGUGUACAAGAAUGAACGAAUCAGCCUGCCUAGCACCCCUUGGCCGGCUCCAGGCCUCCACUUGCUGUGUCAAGUGAGGCUCCCACGUGCUGAGGGGACAGAGGGCCCCUGUGACCUGUGAUGCUCCCACUCUCACCCACGCAGCUGCUCAGCUACACAGCCGGCUUCUCCAGGGCUAACAGGCUACCCAGAUGCAAGCCAGUCUCGGCCCCUGACCACACUGGUUUUCAAAUGAACUGUGGGCUCUCAUGACGGAGAAGUGGCUGGGAGUCCCAGUGUGGGAUGUGGUGGGACGGGGCUGGGGUCUGUGCAGAGACGAUGAUGGAGGAGCUCCUGGGGGCACACAGACCUAGUGUCGCUCUCAGGGCUGGGUCUGCAGGCCACUCUCCCUCCCUCAACAACACUAACGCCUGCUGCAGCCCCAGGAGGGGUCAGGACUCACAGAUGCCAACGAGCAAAAGCAGCCCAUGCCGGACGCAUCACCACCAGUGGCCCCGGCAAAGGCUUCCUGGUGUGUGUGGCUGACCAUCGGCCACUCGGGUAGACAGAGGUGUGGGUGGGCUGUGUGUAUGCCAGGGCAGACGGACAGCCCAGGGUCUCAGGCCAAUGGAAACAGGAAGUUUCCAGCUCCAUUUGAAUACCAGUGGAAAUGCCGGGCCCUCGCGCUGAAUAGGAUGCUCCAUCCAAGCUUGCCACAGUCCGCAGCACUCCCUGCCGCCUCCUCGGUGGCUGGGGCCAGUCACCAGGCCCGGCUGUGCUUUCACAGCUGCUUUUCUCAUGGGAGAGCAAGAUCUCCUGGGAUUCAAGGCCCUACCAGGAGUACAAGACAAGGGUCAUGGGAAGGCUGUGUGAGCCCUCAAGGGGCACCACUGGCCCUGCGCACCAGGGAUUUGCGCUCCUGGUUCCGACAGCCCAGGGCCGAAUCCUGGCAGAUGGGGAAGCUGAGCUCUGUCUGACCUGCUCUGGAAAACAGCUGGUCCAGAGAAGGAGGAAGAUGUCACUUAAUUCUGAGUUGCUGAGGAUAAGCCAGGGGCCCUGGAGGUGACUCUGCUGCCCAUAGCAUCCCAGGGGAUGCCACAUCCCCACAGGAGAAGCCCGGGUCCCCCACAGGACUGCGUGCCCCCCACCACCAAGGUCCUUGCCCACUGGUCUGUGCCUCAGUAGGAUAGCCUCCUUCUCACACUAUUUUGAAAUAUAAAAAUAAUACUCAUUACCCAUCACCCAGUCACUCAGAAUCACACCAGCAGGCGCACAGAAGUGACGGCAUGUAGUUCUCCAGCCUGUUUGUGAGCAUGGGUGUACAUGUACACACACACACAAAUGCACAUGCAUGGACACAUGCACACACACACACAUGCACACACAGACAUGCACACACAUGCACACAUGCACGUACACACAUGCACACACACACGCGCGCACGCACACGCGGGGUCAGGGAGCCGAUGCUGUGCUAGGCUGUCGAGGGCUUCUUCACUCAGCGGCACUUGGGAAGCGCUGCUCUGUGGGAGGCCCCUCAUCCAUGUCCUCGUUAUUAGCAACACAAGUCUCCAAGUGAGGAGGGGCCAUGUUUACUAGCCGUCCUUCCAGCCCACAUCUCCUACGGUUCCUUAUUUUCACAGAUACUGUUUUGCAGAUGCAGAGACCCCAAGCAGCCCACACGUCUUAUCUGGGUGAAGCUUUGCUUUAUGAAGUGCUGCCUGGACCCCUGAUGGUCAGCCCUCCCGUGGACACAGUGGCAGGCAGGCGGGGGCGCUCAGGGCUGUCUGCGGGGGGCAGCCAGGACCUCACUGAGGUGGACAACUGGGUCCACGCCCUCCUCAGCCUGCACUGCUGGACAGGUCCCAACAAGUCGUGCUCGGCAUGGCCCAAGAACGGGAAGCGGCAGCGUCCUGGCAUCCUAGGUGAGACUUCAAGAAGGCUCCCUACUCCCACCUGGGUUAAAGGUGGAACCCCAGGUGUACAGAGCCCCCCGGGGUACAGGGGAGGCUGGAUCAGCAGACACCGGCUCUGGGAGGGCCCUGAGGGGCUGUGGAGGGAAGGUGACCCCGCAGUGGCAGCGGCAGUGGCAGCGGCAGCAGGACGGCGCAGUGCCCAACACCUGAGGCCACUCUCCCUGGACGGGGGGCAGGCGGCACUGAGAGGCGGCCAUAAAAACCGGAGUUUAUUUAAUAAAACAAGAGCCCACGCGGC